rnacentral:lncRNA from 1 species
CGAAGACCCUGCCAGUUUCCUGUAACACCCCAGGCUGGAGCUCAUCUCCAAUGUCUCCAACACGAGGGCCUUCAGGGGACACUUAAGAUCCAAACUAUAGAAUCUGUUUUGUAACAACGCUGAGGGACUCACUAGUGAAGACGCCAGGAAAUCCUGCCCAGUGUUGAACCCUUACAGGAGCCAGACCAGGAGCACAGCCCGUGAGUGGCACACAGCUCUGGAGGAGAGAGGUAUUUAUACCCAUGGCUGCCCUAGGUUUCCAUACUGAGCUACUCUUCAACAUUUUGAGUUCUUGAAGAAUGUCUCGUAUGCAGGGCCAGAUGCUAACCCAACGUCUCAACCUGCUUCAGGUCCAGAGACCACUCCCAGAUGUGUCCUAGGUGACCGCAAUGUCAUACAAAGCUCUGCAUUGGCUUUAUGUGUCCCAUCAUGUAGCAA